GACUCGAUAGCUCAGUUGGGAGAGCGUUAGACUGAAGAUCUAAAGGCCACCUGUUCGAUCAUGGUUCGGGGCA
rnacentral:tRNA from 1 species